rnacentral:rRNA from 1 species
AGCAGCCGCGGUAAUUCCAGCUCCAAUAGCGUAUAUUAAAGUUGUUGCAGUUAAAAGCUCGUAGUUGAAUUUCGGGGUUAGUAAGUUGGUCAUGCCUUUGGUAUGCACUGGCUUUACUGAUUCCUCCUUCUUGACGAACCGUGAUGUCAUUAAUUUGGUGUUGCGGGAAAUCAGGACUGUUACUUUGAAAAAUUAGAGUGUUUAAAGCAGGCUAACGCUUGAAUACAUUAGCAUGGAAUAAUGAAAUAGGACGUUAAUCCUAUUUUGUUGGUUUCUAGGAUCGACGUAAUGAUUAAUAGGGAUAGUUGGGGGCAUUAGUAUUCAAUUGUCAGAGGUGAAAUUCUUGGAUUUAUUGAAGACUAACUACUGCGAAAGCAUUUGCCAAGGAUGUUUUCAUUAAUCAAGAACGAAAGUUAGGGGAUCGAAGACGAUCAGAUACCGUCGUAGUCUUAACCAUAAACUAUGCCGACUAGGGAUCGGAUGAUGUUAAUUCUUUAAUGACUCAUUCGGCGCCUUACGG